CCUGAGGAAUGCUAUUGAACCAAUAUUAUAACCAGUCUUACAACUACUACAGAGCUGCCUCAAGUCCCUGACUACAUUGAGACAGAUGCUAACAGCCCUGAUGUGUGUGUGUUUCACUGAAAGAAAGGAAUCUCUGGACCUGGUCCUGCCUGUGCUUCUAUUCAGUGGUGGGACAGAGUGAGAAAUAUAAGAAGACAAGUAAACAGCAGCUGAAUCAUAGUCUAGUGCUCUCCCGGAUGACAUUCAGCACUAUAGUGGUAGAGAGUGCACAGAAUCAGCUGGAGGAAAGGGGCCAUGAGGCAAGGAAUGCUUUUAGAAGCUGAGAAUGACCUUUGCUGACCUCCAAAAAGGACAUGGGACUUCAUUCCUACAGAUGCUUGGAAGUGAAUUUUUCUGAAAGCUUAAAUGAGCUUGAAAGUGAAUUCACCCUCAGAGCCUCCGGAAAAGAACACGUCACUGCCGAAAACUUGAUUUCAACCUUGUGAAACCUGGAGUAGAAAACCAGUAAGCCAUUUGGUACCUGGACCUAAGACCUACAAC